rnacentral:lncRNA from 1 species
AGCAGAGCCGUGGUGACUCUCUGAACAGCACACACACACACACACACACACACACACACACACACACACACACACACACACACACACACACACAGUGGAGAGAACGGUCACACACAUAAACACAAGGAGCACACGAGACUACAGAAAAGCCUGCAUACAGAAAGCUAAGCCUCCCGUGUCUCUCUCCCUCCUCUCUCUCCCUCUCUUGCUCUCUCCUUCUCUCUGUCGGCCGUGGCAGUUACAGCUCAAUCAGGUAGAGCCAGACUCACAGGAGCACCUUCCCUUUGUCUCCCACCGUCCUCCUUCUCAAGAUUCUGUGUGUAUGUCAUGGUUACACCUGGCCAUCAGAACAUGAAAUGAUCAGCUACCUGCUGUUCUUCAGUAGAGGUCGUGUGAGAGCAUCAGUCUGCGUCGAAGGUGAGAGGGG